rnacentral:tRNA from 3 species
CUUACCACUUGGCCACGCCCCA